rnacentral:rRNA from 1 species
GACGAACGCUGGCGGCGUGCUUAACACAUGCAAGUCGAACGAUGAAGCCGGAGCUUGCUCUGGUGGAUUAGCGGCGAACGGGUGAGUAACACGUGAGUAACCUGCCCUUGACUCUGGGAUAAGCGUUGGAAACGACGUCUAAUACCGGAUACGAGCUGGGACCGCAUGGUCACCAGCUGGAAAGAACUUCGGUCAAGGAUGGACUCGCGGCCGAUCAGCUGGUUGGUGAGGUAACGGCUCACCAAGGCGACGACGGGUAGCCGGCCUGAGAGGGUGACCGGCCACACUGGGACUGAGACACGGCCCAGACUCCUACGGGAGGCAGCAGUGGGGAAUAUUGCACAAUGGGCGCAAGCCUGAUGCAGCAACGCCGCGUGAGGGACGACGGCCUUCGGGUUGUAAACCUCUUUUAGCAGGGAAGAAGCGAAAGUGACGGUACCUGCAGAAAAAGCACCGGCUAACUACGUGCCAGCCGCCGCAGUAACAC